rnacentral:rRNA from 1 species
AUUGAACGCUGGCGGCAGGCCUAACACAUGCAAGUCGAGCGAGCGGCGGACGGGUGAGUAAUGUCUGGGAAACUUCCUGAUGGAGGGGGAUAACUACUGGAAACGGUAGCUAAUACCGCAUACCAUCAGAUGUGCCCAGAUGGGAUUGGCUGGUAGGUCGGGUAAUGGCUAACCUAGGCGACGAUCCCUAGCUGGUCUGAGCGGCUGACCAGCCACACUGGAACUGAGACACGGUCCAGACUCCUACGGGAGGCAGCAGUGGGGAAUAUUGCACAAUGGGCGCAAGCCUGAUGCAGCCAUGCCGCGUGUGUGAAGAAGGCCUUCGGGUUGUAAAGCACUUUCAGCGGGGAGGCGUUACCCGCACAAGAAGCACCGGCUAACUCCGUGCCAGCAGCCGCGGUAAUUC